UACGAAGGGGGCGAGCGUUGUUCGGAAUUACUGGGCGUAAAGGGCGCGUAGGCGGCCUUCUCAGUCAGACGUGAAAUCCCCCGGCUUAACCUGGGAACUGCGUCUGAUACUGGAAGGCUGGAGUUCGGGAGAGGGAUGUGGAAUUCCAGGUGUAGCGGUGAAAUGCGUAGAUAUCUGGAGGAACACCGGUGGCGAAGGCGGCAUCCUGGACCGAAACUGACGCUGAGGCGCGAAAGCCAGGGGAGCAAACGGG
rnacentral:rRNA from 1 species